rnacentral:rRNA from 1 species
UACGUAGGGAGCAAGCGUUGUUCGGAUUUACUGGGCGUAAAGGGCGCGUAGGCGGCGUGUCAAGUCGAUUGUGAAAUCUCCGGGCUUAACUCGGAACGGCCAAUCGAUACUGACGUGCUAGAGUGCAGAAAGGGCAAUCGGAAUUCUUGGUGUAGCGGUGAAAUGCGUAGAUAUCAAGAGGAACACCUGAGGCGAAGGCGGCCAACUGGACAGAUACUGACGCUGAGACACGAAAGCGUGGGGAGCAAACAGG